rnacentral:rRNA from 1 species
AACGAACGCUGGCGGCAUGCCUAACACAUGCAAGUCGAACGAGACCUUCGGGUCUAGUGGCGCACGGGUGCGUAACGCGUGGGAACCUUCCCUUAGGGUCGGAAUAACUCCCCGAAAGGGGUGCUAAUACCGGAUAAUGUCUUCGGACCAAAGAUUUAUCGCCUUUGGAUGGGCCCGCGUUGGAUUAGCUAGUUGGUAGGGUAAAAGCCUACCAAGGCGACGAUCCAUAGCUGGGCUGAGAGGAUGAUCAGCCACACUGGGACUGAGACACGGCCCAGACUCCUACGGGAGGCAGGAGUGGGGAAUAUUGGACAAUGGGCGAAAGCCUGAUCCAGCAAUGCCGGGUGAGUGAUGAAGGCCUUAGGGUUGUAAAGCUCUUUUACCCGGGAUGAUAAUGACAGUACCGGGAGAAUAAGCUCCGGCUAACUCCGUG